GAAGCCCGCCAGGCCGUCGCUGGUGCCGCAUGGGAAACCUGGCACUGGAGGAACGUCCGGACUGCAAAGGGCAGCGUAGCAGGUAACACCUGUCCACCGUGAGGUGAGGAUCAGAGCAACAGAGACGAGUCGCCGUGGGCAACCAUGGCGGGUGAAACGGGCAAUCUCUACGCGCAGCAAUACCAAAUAGGCCAGCGUCGAUGUGGCUCCGCGGAGCUGGCGGGUAGGUAGCACCGAGCCGUGGGGGCGACCCCCGGCCCAGAGGAAUGACGGUCGCGCCCGGGAAACCGGGCGUCACAGAAUCCGGCGUACCGGCGGACUUCACAC
rnacentral:RNase_P_RNA from 1 species